UACGGAGGGAGCUAGCGUUGUUCGGAAUUACUGGGCGUAAAGCGCACGUAGGCGGCUUUGUAAGUUAGAGGUGAAAGCCCGGGGCUCAACCCCGGAAUUGCCUUUAAGACUGCAUCGCUUGAAUCCAGGAGAGGUGAGUGGAAUUCCGAGUGUAGAGGUGAAAUUCGUAGAUAUUCGGAAGAACACCAGUGGCGAAGGCGGCUCUCUGGGACGGUACUGACGCUGAGACGCGAAAGCGUGGGGAGCGAACAGG
rnacentral:rRNA from 1 species